UAAUACGGAGGGUGCAAGCGUUAUCCGGAUUCACUGGGUUUAAAGGGUGCGUAGGUGGGUUGGUAAGUCAGUGGUGAAAUCUCCGAGCUUAACUUGGAAACUGCCAUUGAUACUAUCAGUCUUGAAUAUUGUGGAGGUCAGCGGAAUAUGUCAUGUAGCGGUGAAAUGCUUAGAUAUGACAUAGAACACCAAUUGCGAAGGCAGCUGGCUACACAUAUAUUGACACUGAGGCACGAAAGCGUGGGGAUCAAACAGGAUUAGAUACCCUGGUAGUCCACGCCCUAAACUAUGGAUACUCGACAUACGCGAUACACAGUGUGUGUCUGAGCGAAAGCAUUAAGUAUCCCACCUGGGAAGUACGAUCGCAAGAUUG
rnacentral:rRNA from 1 species